GGGGGGGGGGGGGGGGGGGGGGGGCAGAGGGGGGGGGGGGGGGGCCGGCGGGUCUGGGGGCGCACGGGGGCGGAACGCGGGGGAGCCGGCCCUCAGGCUCGGAAUAACUCCCCGACAGGGGGGCCAAUACCGGAUAAUGUCGUCGGACCAACGAUUUUUCGCCUUUGGAUGGGCCCGCGUUGGAUUAGCCAGUUGGUAGGGUAAAAGCCUACCAAGGCGACGAUCCAUACCUGGUCUGAGAGGAUGAACAGCCACACUGGGAAUGAGACACGGCCCAGACUCCUACGGGAGGCAGCAGUGGGGAAUAUUGGACAAUGGGGGAUAGCCUGAUCCAGCAAUGCCGGGGGAGUGAUGAAGGCCUUAGGGUUGUAAAGCUCUUUUAACCGGGAUGGUAAUGACAGUACCGGGAGAAUAAGCACCGGCUAACUGCGUG
rnacentral:rRNA from 1 species